rnacentral:misc_RNA from 1 species
GAUGAAGAACGUAGCGAAAUGCGAUAAGUAAUGUGAAUUGCAGAAUUCAGUGAAUCAUCGAAUCUUUGAACGCACAUUGCGCCCCCUGGUAUUCCGGGGGGCAUGCCUGUUCGAGCGUCAUUUCACCACUCAAGCCUCGCUUGGUAUUGGGCAUCGCGGUCCGCCGCGCGCUUCAAAUCGACCGGCUGGGUCUUCUGUCCCCUAAGCGUUGUGGAAACUAUUCGCUAAAGGGUGUUCGGGAGGCUACGCCGUAAAACAACCCCAUUUCUAAGGUUGACCUCGGAUCAGGUAGGGAUACCCGCUGAACUUAAGCAUAUCAAUAAGCGGAGGA